GUGAAGAGGGAAGAGCCCAGCACCGAAGCCUGCGGCAGUUUUGCUGUUAGGCAAUGUGGBGUGCGGGUCGGUUGGCGGGACCGUCACUCCACUCGAAGUCCAGCAUUGAGUAUGGUUAUCACUGGAUUUGGUCCAUAGAGGGUGAGAKGUCYBUACGAGUGGAGGUUCAGACAUGUGUGACGGUUCACCAGGCCGACCUCAGAGUCGGGUUGUUUGAGAUUGCAGCCCAAAGAGGGUGGUAAACUCCAUCCAAGGCUAAAUACUGGCACGAGUCCGAUAGCGAACAAGUACCGUGAGGGAAAGUUGAAAAGUACUCUGAAGAGAGAGUAAACAGUACGUGAAGCCGCAUGCAGGUAAACGGGUGGCGUCAAGCUGCGAGCCCGGAGGAUUCAGCUGAUUAGGAUGUAGUGUACGCGCGCCUGGUGCGUCGAGAGACCGGAAUAAGAUGUUUGGCGGUCCGCUCCUCUGCUAGGAGUGGGGCGCUAUCGGCGUGCACGUGCUUGCAUGUGUGUGCCGGUUGUCGCUAUGCAUGCCGGGUGGGUGCCGGAGCAUGCCGCUCAUCUGUUGGGUCGCCUAGUCAGUGCAUUUUCUCCGUGGUGAACACCACGACCGGUGGAACUAACAGUCUGCUGUGAUCAAGUCGUGUCCUUCUGACCCCUCCCUACCUCUCUCUCUCGCCCUGUGUGAGUGGGAGGGCAGUGGAUGUGUGUGUUGGGUGGGUACGAUCGCAGAUGGAGUCGGUGGACGGCGCAGUGGUGUCUCGGCACCGCCGCGUGUUAUCGUGCACUCUCCGUCCUAAGCGACUAGUGGGUUUGACUAAGUGCUGUAACUACCUGCCCAUUAAUCGGCGGAUAGCAGUGGUAAAAAUGACUGUGCAGGGCACCGSAGUUAUCCACCUCAUUUGUUCAUUCAACUUGUUGAAUGAAUGGAUAUGGUACCCGACACGCACGUUACAGGUGCUAUGUAAUCGAGGCGCGCCGCUGUCUGCCUGGUGUUGGGCCUGACUGUCGUGUUGCCUGCGCAAAGUGGGUCCGGCAGUGGUUGCAGACACUUGGCAGUUGCAGUGUGUAGCGUGCCUUGGGUGUGUGUGGUACCGGGGGUGAAAUAGUCAGUGGUGCUGUGGUAGACGAGCUACCCGACCCGUCUUGAAACACGGACCAAGGAGUUUAACAUGUGUGCGAGUCAAAGGGUCCUACGAAACCCCGAGGCGCAGUGAAAGUGAAGUUCAUACUGUACUUCAGUCAUACGCGGUACAGUGUGGNNAGGUGAGAUCAUCCUUGUGCUCAAUGGCACACGCCACAGAUUUUACUGGGCAAUACUGGGGCAAGGAGCGCAAUCACCGGCCCGUCGCAUGUUGUGGUCAUAGGUAUACAUUGUGCNNGGGAGGGUGCGUGUGCGUGCUUGCAUGUGCAUGUACUUGAA
rnacentral:rRNA from 1 species